CCUACGGGUGGCAGCAGUGAGGAAUAUUGGUCAAUGGGCGGAAGCCUGAACCAGCCAAGUAGCGUGCGGGAUGAAGGCCCUACGGGUCGUAAACCGCUUUUGCACGGGGAUAACACCCUCCACUUGUGGAGGUCUGCAGGUACCGUUCGAAUAAGGGCCGGCUAAUUCCGUGCAAGCAGCCGCGGUAAUACGGAAGGCCCGAGCGUUAUCCGGAUUCAUGGGGGUUAAAGGGAGCGUGGGAGGGCACUCAAGUCAGCUGUAAAAUCGCGCGGCUAAACAGCGCCCCGCAGUUGAAACUGGAAGCCUUGAGUUCGGAACAGGCAGGCGGAAUUCGUGGUGUAGCGGUGAAAUGCAUAGAGAUCACGAGGAACCCCGAUUGCGAAGGCAGCCUGCCGGGGUGCGACUGACGCUGAGGCUCGAAGGUGCGGGUAUCAAACAGGAUUAGAUACCCCUGUAGUC
rnacentral:rRNA from 1 species